rnacentral:lncRNA from 1 species
GGAGGCUCAGCUGAGCAGUGUGGAAGCCAGGCCGGGGGUGCCGUGUGUCCGGGAGGUCUAUGUUGUAGCCAAUUUGGUUGGUGUGGCAGCACUAAUGAUUACUGUGGUACCGGCUGCCAAAGCCAGUGCGGUGGUGCGGGCGGAGGAGACCUUGGCAGUAUCAUCUCAAGUGCGAAGUUUGAUGAGAUGCUUAAACAUAGAAAUGAUGGUGGAUGCCCUGGCAAGGGAUUCUACACUUACAAUGCCCUGGCAAGGGAUUCUACACUUACAAUGCUUUCAUCUCAGCUGCCAAUGCCUUCUCUGGCUUUGGCACUACUGGUGAUGCUAACACUCGUAAAAGGGAGAUCGCUGCUUUCUUGGGCCAAACCUCUCAUGAAACUACUGGUUCGUUUAAUCAGUCUCAAACCUAAUUAAUCAGCUUAGUUUAUAACUUUAUAUACUUCUUCACAUAACAUUAUGUAUCAGAGGAAUAUUAGUAAGUUAAUUAUCAUGAUCUCAUAUGAUGAAUGUACAUGUAGGAGGGUGGCAAACUGCACCUGAUGGUGCAUACGCUUGGGGAUAUUGCUUUGUCAAGGAACAAAAUCCUGGAACUUAUUGUUCUCCAAGUUCCACAUAUCCAUGUGCUGGUGGCAAGCAAUAUUAUGGCAGAGGUCCUGUCCAGCUUUCAUGGUAAGUCCAGAUUUUUUAUUAUUGUUAUCUGGUAGGUAUUUUUUUCUUCAUUUCUGGGUUUACAUAUUCAUCCACCCAUUUUCAAGCAUUAAAAAUAAAAUUGAAAGAAUUCAAGCGUGUGUGUGUUAUUUAGCACAACUUUGCAGUGAAGUUAAUUUAAUUUGAUAAAUAUGACACAGGAACUACAACUACGGGCAGUGUGGAAAAGCUAUAGGAGUGGAUCUAUUAAACAAUCCUGACCUUGUUGCAACCGAUCCAGUAAUUUCCUUCAAGACAGCAAUUUGGUUUUGGAUGACAGCACAGUCUCCAAAGCCCUCAUGCCACAGUGUCAUCACUGGGAAUUGGUCACCUUCCGGUGCUGAUUCGGCAGCUGGUCGGGUUCCAGGCUACGGUGUGUUAACAAACAUUAUCAAUGGCGGGCUUGAAUGUGGUAUGGGGUGGAAGCAACAGGUGGAGGAUCGUAUUGGGUUCUACAAGAGGUACUGUGACUUGCUUGGAGUUGGAUAUGGAAACAAUCUGGACUGCUACAACCAAAAGUCAUUUGCAAAUGGACUCUUGGACUUGGUCGACUCCAUGUAAUUUUGUCACAUCCUUCUGUAAUCUGUAUGCCUAACAAAAUAUAAAAAUAAAACGUUUCCUGCUCUGAGUCAAAUAAAAAAUAUGACCCGUGUACGUCUUUUUCAUCUAUCCAUGCCUUCAAGUUUUACGCCCACUGCGCUUCUUUUACAGGCGUGAUAUAUAUGGAGAAUAACAGAGUCGGGAACACAAAUCAAUUAAGCAGCCCGAAAAUGGAUGGGAAAAUUGAUUAGAGCAGUUUAUAACUCUUCUAUGUAGUUGUAAACUUGGAACAACCCAAGACUGACUUAACCUUUGGAUUAAAAAAAUAAAAUAAAAAAACCUGCUCGGCCGACCUAAUCAUAAAUAUGUAUCGACUUGCUAACUCAAUUAAAACCCAAUCCUCACAGCUAUUGACUUUUUUUUUAGAAAAAAAUUGAACAAACAACAUUAUUUUAUUUUUUUCUUAAAAAAUAAUUUAGAGAUUAACUCUCCCAAUCCGUAAUCAAUGUAUGUCUCGGGUUAACUCAGAUUGGGUUAUACAACUAUGCUCUUCUGUGUCACUCUUCUAGAUUUUGGAUUAGACUAUUCUAAGCUAGAUUUAUACUUUCCACACUCGUUGAAAGCCUCUAAGCUCAAAAUUAUGUUGACUACAUUUCUUAUUGGGUCUGUCUAAGAGCCCACAACCACUUCUAGGAGCCCACAUCCUUGGACCAAAGGCUUGGAUCUUGUUAAGGACUCAUUGGUGAAAUAGAGUUUUCUUCAAUUUUUUAUUUGCCUUUCACUUUUUAAAACAAAUAAAUAAAUAAAACUUUCUAGACUAAUAUUUUUUUUUAUUUUCCUGAGUUUUUAAUCGAUUUUUUUUUCUUUCUAGAACUAAAAUCAAUAAAAAUCUAAAUAUGUCCCUUCCUCCAUUUGAAAGUAAACUUUAAUAGAAAAUUAGGUUGCUGUAGGGGAAGGAUUGUUAUUGACUAUAAGUCUUUCCCAGUGCAUGAAUGACACCUAUGGCAUUUCCCUAUCAAAGAAAAUCAAGGCAAGAGAGUUGCUGGCAAGAGACAAUGCGUAGACAUCAGGGAUGCCAUUUUUCUGAAACAUGUUACCGCCAUUAAUAGCUGAAGAGGAUGAGAUUCCUCUUCAACUAUUAAUAUAAAAAUGGUACAGUAUUUAUCCAUGUACAUUUAUUUAUUUUGAUACUGGUGGUGACGGAAAGAGAGAAUAAAUGAUAUUUUCAAGACUUAAAUAUUUUAUAAAUCUUGUUUAAGUUUGUAUUAGAUUUGAACUGUGUUAAACUUGUGCUGUCUAAAUAUAUAUUAUUUAUAUGAAAUCUAGAGAAAUAAAAUUUAAAAAAUAUUAAUAAUAAUAAUAUUUUUUAAUGUUACACUUCAAAUUAAAAUUACGGUUAUUUUUCAAUAUUAAUAAUAAAUUUUUUUAAAAUUUUUAAUUAUUUUAAUUAUAAAAAAUAAUAUUUAUAACAUAAAUAAUACUAUUUUUCAUAUUAAGACUUUUAAUUAUAAUAAUAUUUAUAAUACAAAUAGUUAUAUUUAGAAUUCUAAGACUAAAAAUCUUGUGUUUUGAUGCAAGACACAAUAAAAUUGAUUCCGAGCCUAGUGUUUUUGGGUCUUCAAAGCUAAUUUGGGUCCUGCCUUAACCUGGACCUAACUCCAAUGGGUCUUGCAGGGCAGGACCCAAAUGCAUUUAACAAUAUAUAUAAUUCAAAACUACUGAAUAAAAGAUUUAAAGAUAAUAAAACAUUAAAUAUUACAAAAUUAAAAUAUCUUCUAUUAUCCAAAAUAAUAUUAUAUUAUAAUAUUUAUAAAUUAUUUUUUGAUGAAUUUUAUUGUUUAAAAAUUCUCUUAUAUAAUAUAAAUAUAUGAAAUAUAUGAUGUGAAUAAAAAAUAAUUACUUAACACAUAUUGCGGAAAUCAUAAUAAGGGUUAAUUGUGCGAUGGAGGCCAAUGUUGCAGCCAAUAUGAUUGGUGUGGCCUAUGAUAUAGCUAAUUAAUAUUAAUCAUUCUGGCUAAUUCAAAUUUUAUUUUUUAACCGAUUUGUGACUAUAAAUUGGAAUACAAAUUCUCCUAAAAAAAUUCAAAAUUUUAAAUUUGUGAUCGCAAAAUCGGUCACUUUUUUUUUUUAAAUGUAACCGAGUUGCGUUUUGUUAGUGUGCCUUUUACUGAAUAUUUUCGGUCACAAAUCCAUCACGAAGCGCGUUAAUUUGUGAAGGAUUUUUGCUUGUUUAUAAGUGAAAUUUCGAUCACAAAAAUAGCUGUUUUUUUAGUAUGCUACCCAAACCUAGCAUGAGAUAUUCACACAUCUAUUUCGUUGUUUCCUCGUCUUUACUAGGCGAGAAUACGUUCUUCAGUUCUUGCUGAGGCUUCAAAGUGCUGUGACCAGAGGUGGGGCUGUUUUCUUCACUGUUUUGGUCACAAGAUCUCUCCCGAAAACACGUAGAUCGAUCCAUUGUUCUAGACGUGUCGGCCCUUUUGUCAUGAAGGCUUACACGUUUCCAUGCACUUGUCAAUAAUCCCGAAUAUGAUAAUUGUAUGUCACGAAAAUCGUCGAUCUUUCUUCAUCGAUCAAUGAACAGUAUUUCCCUAUAAGUAUAUACCUGUCCUCCUUACAAUCUCAGCGACCAACAAAUUCCCAAUCGUUGUGCUUCAAAUGAAGCUUCGGGUCUUCACAGUUUUCUCUCUAUUAUUAUUGCGUGUUUUAAAAUUAUUUUUUAAAAAAAUUAGUUUUUUUAUAUUUUUAUUAGCAUUAAAUUAAUCUUUUUUAGUGUUUUUAGAUCAUUUUAAUGUAUUAAUAUUAAAAAUAAUUUUUUAAAAAUAAAAAAUAUUAUUUUAAUAUAUUUUUAAAUAAAAAAAACUUCAAAAAAAUAUCUACAACUAUAUUUUCAAAAACGCUCUACCAAGAAGGCUUAGUAGCGCAACGUGAAAGUCAAAGUAGGGGUAAAUUCUAAUGCAAAUAUCAUAAUAGGAAUAAAUUAUGUGAAGAUGUUACGUAUGGUGUCAAAGAAUCAUGUCACUUUAAAAAAUUAAGUAUUUAAAUUUUUAAGUAAAGUUUUAAAUAUAUUAUUUUAUAUUAUUUUUUAAUAUAUUUUGUAAGUAAAAUAUUUUUAGGUUUAAAACUUAUACUGGUAUAUAUUAUUUUUUAAUACAUUUUGUAAGUAAAAUAUUUUUAGGUUUAAAACUUAUACUGGUAUAUAUUAUUUUAUAUUUUAUAUUUAUUAAUUAAAAUAAAAAUGAUGUGAUUUAAACUCGUGACCAUUUGAUCAAUAACACUCUAGUAUUAUAUCAAAAAAUUAUCCAACUAAAAUCUUAAGAUUUUAAAUAAAAUCCCAGUAAUAAUUUUAUAUUAUUUUCUAGCAUAAACAUGGUUAAUGUGGCAAAGUUCCAAAUUAUUGCAAUAUCGGUUGACAAAACCAAUGUUAUGGCCAUCACCAGUUCGAUUCUCACAAAUCUUAAAGUCAUUAAAGGUUUACAUGGUCGUUAACUUCAGAGUCCAUGAAAUUAGUCAAGAUAUAUGCAAGCUGACUCAGACACUAUAUUAAUUAUAUAAAAAAAGUCACAAAAUCUAAUGUUUGUAAUGAUGGAAAUUAUGUUCUUUCUAAUUUAUUUAUUUAUUUUUAAAAAAAGGCCUGAAAUUAUUGGUUUCCUUAAUUUGUCGUUGUUGCAACGUAUUCUGUGUAUUAACUAUUAAGUUCGUGAACAAAGACAUGAUGGGUCUUUGAUGCCAAGUCACGUGGUCCAAGAAAAACAAUUUUUCCCCCUUUAUCUAAAUUAAUUCAUGGAAAAUGUUUUUGUCCUUUUUUUUUUUUUUUGGGAGUAAAGCACAUGGUUCAUGAUUUAGCAUCAAGUGAUUAAAAAAAAUUGCUACGUCGUUGUGAUUUGUUUUAUUUGAAUUAACAAAUGCUUAUUUCACGAUAGAUUGACGAAAUGGAUACGGACCCCACCUCAUCCUUCUUGCUCCUGUAUUAACAGUAUUAUUUAUCUGUAAAUUAAUUCUUAAUUAAUUUGAUAUACUAGAAUUAAUUUUAUUCUUAACCAGAUUGAGCAAGCAUUAUCAAUGGAAAGGAAUUCCGUGGCUUACUUAUGGAAACUCUCAAAGAACAUGGUCUGGUUCUCAAGGGCUAACUUUUAAUAAAAUAGAGAAUAAGAAUCAAAAGUUUUAUUCUUACUUUAUAGUUGGAACAGCAUGAUAAUUAAAAUCUCAUUACGAUUCCCUAAUUUUNNNNNNNNNNNNNNNNNNNNNNNNNNNNNNNNNNNNNNNNNNNNNNNNNNNNNNNNNNNNNNNNNNNNNNNNNNNNNNNNNNNNNNNNNNNNNNNNNNNNACCCAAUGAUUCAAAGAACUUUGAACUCUCAAUUUUUUUUCAAGAAAAAUUAAAAGAAAAGCUGCACUUAAUCAAUCUGAUUUGUUUUUCUUUGUUUUUUUUUUCCUACGAAGAAGUUGUAGUACCUUCUUGAUCAACAAGGAAAUACUGGGGACAAAGAUGGCACUUUUGUUACCUUCUCCAUGGAAAACAUGAAGCUUUAUUACAAAUUAUAAGGACGGAAAUACCAUCGUAUACCUCUAUUAUUGGCUAUAUAUACCCGCAUGCUUUCACCUUCUCAAUCAUCAACGAACUGAUCAAGCAUAUUAACAAGAAAUGAGUGUUUGGGCAUUCACAUUUCUCUCCUUAUUCUUGUCCCUUUCGGUUAGAGGCUCAGCUGAGCAAUGCGGUCGCCAAGCCGGGGAUGCCCUGUGUCCAGGAGGCCUAUGUUGUAGUUCCCAUGGUUGGUGUGGGACAACGGAUGAUUAUUGCGGUAUUGGUUGUCAGAGCCAGUGUGAUGGAGGAGGUGGGGGUGGGGGUGGGGGUGGUGGAGGCGGUGGUGGAGGUGGAGGUGAUGGUUACUUAAGUGACAUCAUCCCAGAAUCAAUGUUUGAUGAUAUGCUCAAGUAUAGAAAUGAUCCUCAAUGUCCUGCUGUUGGGUUCUACACCUAUAAUGCUUUUAUCUCCGCUGCUAAGGAAUUCCCUGAUUUUGGUAACACUGGUGAUGAUCUGAUGCGUAAAAGGGAGAUUGCUGCUUUCCUGGGCCAGACAUCUCAUGAAACUAACGGUAGGGUUUUAUUUUUUAUUUAAUUUCUUGCUCAUAACUUCAAUUAAUGACAUAGGAUGCCUAGGUUGAGCAGACUCGGUGUACAAACUCAUUCUGUAAUUAAUUAAAUAAGGAUAUCCUUGGUUGAUAAAUUUCCUUGUCUCUAAUUUGACAAUGCAUGCUCCUACAUAAAGGAUGGUGGCCAGCUGCACAAGGUGACCCAUACGAUUGGGGAUAUUGCCAUAUUAGGGAAAUAAAUUGUCAAGAUUAUUGUGAACCAUCUUCCAAAUAUCAAUGUGUUGCGGGCAAGCAAUAUUGUGGCCGAGGACCAAUCCAACUUUCAUGGUAAUUCCGCAAGGCCUUGACUAGCUGAGUCGUUUGAUUUAGUUUAUUGGUUAAGUAAUUUUUUUUAUAUAUGGAAGAUAUAUUGUGUAGUACUUUGAAUCAAAAGAAAAGGCCAAAUCCAGCAAAACAUUGUUGGAUCUUGAUUUGCAUUGAGUUAGUUUAUUAACAUGUGGUGCAGGAACUAUAAUUAUGGGCUAUGCGGAGACGACUUAAACUUGCCACUGUUACAAGAUCCAGAACUUGUUGAGACUGAUCCUUUCAUUGCCUUCAAGACAGCACUCUGGUUUUGGAUGACACCACAGUCCCCAAAGCCCUCUUGUCACGCAGUCAUCACUGAAAGUUGGACACCGAGCGCGGCAGACUCGGAGGCUGGUAGGGUUCCAGGCUAUGGUGUGAUAACAAACAUCAUCAAUGGUGGCAUUGAAUGUGGUCAGGGAGGGCCAAAUAAUGCAAAUGAGAAUCGCAUUGGGUUCUACAAGACAUACUGUGAUUCACUCGGAACAACCUAUGACUCCAAUCUUGACUGCUACCAGCAAAGGCCUUUUGGAUAUGGACUCUUGGGAUUGAAGGACACCAUGUAAUUUGAUGUUGAAGCUAUCGUGUAUUUAAAUAACGAAAGCUUUUAGCUUAUCGACCUUUUCUAUUUCCACCAGUAAGAAUAAGAUGUUUCUUUUGUCCCUUCCAGGCGAUCGGAAAUAGUUACGUAUUUACAAAAUACCGUCUCAGUUCAUGGAUUAAAUCAUGCUGUGGAAGUCCAAAGCCUUUUCUAUUUUCCUAAUAGAGUUGCGGAGCUUUUGAUGGUUUUUGACACCAGGUGCAACUAUAACCCAUAAAACAAGAUAAAAAAAACCCUAGUAUCAAUUUAAUUUACAUAGAAGAAGAAAAGAAGUCAGGAACAUCGCUGUUAGCUAGUUAUCUAUAUAUAUCAUCACUUAAAGAUUCUUUGAAAGAGUAGCUAAUUAAUAAUCAAGGUGCAGCUAGCAUAAUAAAGUUCGGUCUAUAUUGGAGGCCAGGAAAAAGAUUGAGUAUGAUUUUUAUGAGCAGAUAAAACUGGAUUUUUAUGUAUCAGAUAAAACUAAUGAUUACUGUGGUAACGGCUGCCAAAGCCAGUGCGGUGGUGCGGGCGGAGGAGACCUUGGCAGUAUCAUCACAAGUGCGAAGUUUGAUGAGAUGCUUAAACAUAGAAAUGAUGGUGGAUGCCCUGGCAAGGGAUUCUACACUUACAGUGCUUUCAUCUCAGCUGCCAAUGCCUUC